UGCCAGCCGCCGCGGUAAUACGUAGGGUGCAAGCGUUGUCCGGAAUUAUUGGGCGUAAAGAGCUCGUAGGCGGUCUGUCGCGUCGGCUGUGAAAUCCCGGAGCUCAACUCCGGGUCUGCAGUCGAUACGGGCAAACUGGAGUGUUGCAGGGGAGACUGGAAUUCCUGGUGUAGCGGUGAAAUGCGCAGAUAUCAGGAGGGACACCGGUGGCGAAGGCGGGUCUCUGGGCCGAUACUGACGCUGAGGAGCGAAAGCGUGGGGAGCGAACAGGAUUAGCUA
rnacentral:rRNA from 1 species